AUUGAACGCUGGCGGCAGGCCUAACACACGCAAGUCGAACGGUAGCACAGAGAGCUUGCUCUCGGGUGACGAGUGGCGGACGGGUGAGUAAUGUCUGGGAAACUGCCCGAUGGAGGGGGAUAACUACUGGAAACGGUAGCUAAUACCGCAUAACGUCGCAAGACCAAGUGGGGGACUUUCGGGCCUCACACCAUCGGAUGGGCCCAGAUGGGAUUAGCUAGUAGGUGGGGUAAUGGCUCACCUAGGCGACGAUCCCUAGCUGGUCUGAGAGGAUGACCAGCCACACUGGAACUGAGACACGGUCCAGACUCCUACGGGAGGCAGCAGUGGGGAAUAUUGCACAAUGGGCGCAAGCCUGAUGCAGCCAUGCCGCGUGUAUGAAGAAGGCCUUCGGGUUGUAAAGUACUUUCAGCGGGGAGGAAGGCGGUGAAGUUAAUAGCUUCACCGAUUGACGUUACCCGCAGAAGAAGCACCGGCUAACUCCGUGCCAGCCGCCGCAGUAA
rnacentral:rRNA from 1 species